UAAUAAAGACAUAGAAAAGAGCCGUAGCGCGAACUACGACUCCUAGCAAACCCGUUUUAGACGGUGGCUAAGUAUAAUGAUUAAUUA
rfam:Leuconostoc mesenteroides subsp. mesenteroides ATCC 8293, complete genome.